AUUGCUUUGGUUGAAGGAGAUUUACAUCUCCCACAAGGACCGGACGUGAAUACCCCGCAAAAAGAAAAGGACCGGACUUGAAGCACGAGAUGUGAUGUGUCCUCAUCCUAAUACUCUUUCGCUUUAUGUAUUUUCAACUUGUCUAGAUCACUCUCAUCGGUGUUAUUAAGCCAAAUCAUCAUUUCAUCUCAAGACUCAAUCUACAUGUGCCCAUCAUGUACCCCAACAAACGAGCAUAAACCCCCACCGAACCAGCCUAGACAAAGAUUACACCAAAAAGCGACGAGUCGGCCCACUGCAUGAAAUGCAGAAGAAAAGAACUGGCUUCGUGGUGGACCAAUAUGUCAAAGCCCAAUACCGCAAACCGGAAGGCCAUGGCUUCCCUAACAAUGCUCAUCUCUUGGGUUAUUUGAAACGAGAGAAAUUCUAGUGUUUAGAAAGAAAUCCACUAACAUUGUCAUGCUUAUCCACCCCUUCUACAUUCUCAAGCUCAUCCAGGACGAGGCAAGGCUUUUGGAUCACAGCGGGAGGUAGGCAUCUGAGCAUCAUCAUGCCGCACUUUUUUGUGUUGGUAGGUGUUCGUGAUGUAUAGUUAUCUCUAUUGGGCUAUGAUGUGGAACCAAUGUGAUGUGGAGUCAAGAAUACCAACAUGAGCAAAAUCCAGUUAGGUAGUUAUCGCAGAGAAAAAUACACCCUCUGUACUAAAUUUAAGCCGUUAAUAGGCCAUUAAAUUCUAGCUCUGCAUAACCCGGCAAUCCGGCCCAUGGGCACCCGAACCGAAUAAUAUUUAUAUGUAUAGAUUGUACUCCCUCCUUCCGGGAAAAGUUGUCACCGUGGCUUUUUUGCAAAAAAAAAAACCUUUGCUUUAGUCCGACACAACCCGCACUCCUCCGCCGCUCCUCUGCUCUGCUCAGCUCUACUCAGCUCCCUCGCUCGUCCUCCGCCGCAGCUCCCCUGCUCCGCUGCCUGUCCCCUCCUCCGCCGCCUCCCUGCUCCCGGUCCAUUUCCCCGUGCAGCUCCCGCCUCCCAUACCUAAAAAUCAUGUCUUCCCCCAAUCAACGGCAGCGAGGACGAAGCGGCGCUCGAUCUAGAGGGCACGGGGACGAGGGCAGCGACAAGUGUAGUUCUUAAUGAUGCAGAGCGCGGUGGAUGCUCCGGUGGGCUUCUACGGUGAACUCCAUCCUCUCCCUCCCCACCACCAGGACCACCUCCGGUCGCUCCCUUCCGCCCCGCGCCGCAACCACCCUCCCCUUCCCAAGAACCAUCGCCAGACCAUGUUCAUGUCGUCGGAAGGCGGGAGCACCAACGGCUCGUUGCUGGGGCUUCCCCCCUGGACGAGGAGGAGGACAACGAGGCCUGCCCCGUCAAUGGUUGCUGCUGAAUUGCAGUAUUCCUCGGGUCACGACGGUUGCUGUAUGUCCCAAUGUCAAAGGUUUGACAUUUGUUGCUGCUGAAUUGCAGUAUUCCCCGGGUAACGACGGUUGCUGCAUGUCCCAAUGUCAAAGGUUUGACAUUUGUUGCUGCUGAAUUGCAGUAUUCCUCGGGUCACGACGGUUGCUGUAUGUCCCAAUGUCAAAGGUUUGACAUUUGUUGCUGCUGAAUUAUGAAUUCUCAUCCUCUUUUCUUGUUGAUGUUGAAUGCUAAAUUCCGGCGAGCAGCUCCUCAGGUCGCCGGGCUUCUGGUGAAGAUCUUCGUGUGGGUCCUCGAGAUGCCGGUGGUGGGCUGGAUCUUGCUCUACAUCCUCAAGAAGGACAAUCUCAUCAACAAGGUGCAUGCACUUGUGCUGAAUGUUUUUUUAUGCCUGAGCGUCGCAAUUCUGAUUCUCAAUUCUACUCGCAUGUGUACGAUGUUUGUUCACCUGUAGGCAUUGAUCAGUACAGUUUCACCAAAGCAAUCUCUGGGCACAGUUAUUUUACAGCAGACAAUUCACUCUUCUGUGGUGUUUUUACUUUUUGCUGAAAUGCUCUGCUGAUUCAGAAAAACCAUUAGCUGCUGUUGCUGCAGACACCCUAGCCAAAUUCAGUUAACUUAAUCUGAAUAAUUCAGUUAACUUAACAGGGGAGCGUGUGUAUGCUGCGAACGAAUGCAUUUACUGAAUGUUAUUUUGAGGGACAUGUUUUUAUCAACUCUUAGUUAAGAUAAAUUAACCGUGUAAGGUGCUCUUUUGAUUACUAGUGAAGUGCUGCUCUAAAUAUCAUUGCAGCAAGAAAAACUUCAGUUUACUACAGUUUUCAGUUUGGAAUAGUGCACAAAAGACAAAUAGAUUCCUAUGCACUAUUGUGCGCUAUUCGGAGCACAAUUCAGUGUACUGCAGUUUAUUGCAUAAUUGUGCACUUUUUUAACACAUAACUUAGUCUGAAAAAAAAUUAAAAGCAACAAUGUCUAUUCCUGCUACCCUAGUUGAUCUAGUUAUGCAAAUGUUCAGAAAUGUCCAGUUUGUACAUUUUGAAAAAAGGCUGCCAUGGCCACAAAGGAUGCCAUGCAAGAUUGUUCACUUAAACUUCACUGUACAGCAACUUAAAUUUUGUGCAUCUACUGUUUACUCCACUGUACAAACUUGAAUUUGUGUGACAUGAGCUUUUGUUGGUUGCUACUCCACUAGAUAUUGACUGAUUAGACUAAACUGUAGGAUAGUGGUGCUGGUCCAUCUAGGGCACUACUCCCAUUUUUGCUCACAAUUAUUCAGAUAAGGACUACUCCUAGUAACAAAACAGAUCAUUUACUGAAAAUAGCUCUACAUAUUUUAGCAAUAGCUCUACAUUUACUGAAAAUAAACUUGAUGUACUGAGAAGAAACUUGGGCAUUGUUUACUGAAAAUAAACUUUAUCUACUGAAAAUAAACAAUCACUGAUCAGCAGCAGUUCUCAUCACCAUGAUAAGAUAAGCCAGAUGCUCUAUUUUUAAUUAACAGUAAUCCAUGAUCAGCAGCAGUUUCUUUCACUAAUUUUCAGUUAACAACAAUCCAUGAUUUUUUUUAUCAAGUGUGAUUUUGGGUAAAUAAGCCCUCUGUAAUUUAGAUCUUUACUACUGUCAAGUCUGACUUGUCAAUGAGAAACCAGUAACUAGUCAAUGUCAAAACUGUGAAAACUGAAAACAAAUUCAGUAAAUUUGAUCUUUUAUGCUGCAUUGCUGAAAAUUGACAGUAAAUUUUCAUGUACUGAAAUGAAGGCUCAAUGCUGCAUUGCUGACUGGAUAAAUUCAUUGCUGAACAAUUUCUGAACUUUAAUUUGUUCAUUGCGUAUAUGAAGGCUCUCUAGCACAUCAGGAUGAUCCACUCAUCAAAUUACAGACUAGAUGAUCCGCUGCUACUCUAAUUCACCUCAAUUUGAUCUGCACAACAAAUUAACAUCAAUUUGACAUUGAUUUCAGGGCGCUGGCUACCUUUCAGUAGCAGCAGAGGCGGCGAGGAGGAGCUGGGUCGCCUGGACGAAGAAGAAGAAAUCGGCAAGGAGGAAAGGGUGGGCGGCGGUGGUCGCCUCUGUAGCAGGUGGGCGGCGGCGUUGGGCCCUACAGUGUUUGCGCUGGUCACCUCGGUGCACGGCAGUGGAGCAGCGGCUGCCCGAGGUCUUGCCCAACUCCCACAGCAGAGUGCCCGGCCUUGGCACGCCGGGGUUGCGACCGGAGAUGCCGGGGUUGCGACCGGAGAUGCGAGCAGAACGACGAGUAGAGCCGCCCAUGAGCCGUGGAAUCACCGCCCGUCGAGGUGUCGCCGCGGAGGAGCAGGUGGGCGGCGGCAAAGCUCGCCUCCGCAGCGCAACUAGGCAAGGGCGGCGCAAGAUGGCAGCUGCGGGGCAGGUGGGCGGCGGCGCAAGUGGGACUUCAUCACGCGGUGCUCGCAGGCGAUGGGGGGAGACGAAGGCUAGAGCAUGCGGUGCCGGCGGGCGUCAGGGGAGGAAGAAGGGCUGAUUAGAACUAGAUUUAAAAUGAAAGGUUUUUUUUGUAAAGUUACAAUUGAACUACGCUGGUGACAACUUUUCCCGGACGGAGGGAGUAUAUUGGUAGUACAGUUGCAUCGAGGGGUAACGCAUAAAGCCAAGCCACUGACGUUAGCUAUCAAAAAUUUCAUUCCAAGCCAUGACAACUAAUAUUCUCGCACUCGGUUGCAUCCAAAUGGACAAGCAUGCUACCAGAUUGACCAUAUGGAUUACAGCACCGCCAACCACUUGUAUAUAUGACUUGAACAGGCAUCAGCCCAGAGAAGGGUGGACAUAUAAAAAAGCUUCAUUGCUGCUCCAAGGCAUACUUAUUACAACUAAUCAGAAAGCAUCAUCAGAACUAAUCAGACUUGAAGUACUUCAUGGUGGUAGUUCAUACUCUUGUAGCUUGUGAUUAUCUAAUAUCAAGAUUUCUAGGCGGGCAAUUUUAUUCAUAUACGUUUCAUGAAAAUUAUGUCGUUAAAGGAGGUAGUAGUUCAAGGUAGCCCACUGAAAGCUAAGGAAUUAACCACAUAGGAGAUCAAGAUGUAGAAUACACUGAAGUUCAAAUGAACAUAUUACUGGAAAUAUCAACGGUGCAUAGAAAGGGGGCAACACACAAGAGGCAAACAUAGACAUAUAUAGGGGAGGAGUGCUGCAGAUUAGGCUGCACCCCUGUGGGCCCUGGGAGUAAGCAUGUAGGCACGCAAUAUCCAACGCAUUCAUAUGGGCAAACCCCACUCUAUAUCCGAUACACUUGGCGAUCCGCGUUGCAGAUGCUCUUACACCCCUGUGUGACAUUUCAGCAUUCAAAUGGUUGCUCACUGAAAGCAAGCCAUCCCAAUUUGCACGCUUCCACCUAGUCACACAAAACCCUAACCCUAACACAUACCAUAAAUACAAGUGAUGGUAUCUGAUCUCAAUACACCUCUGAAUGAGCCUUACUCAUCAUCGCCAUCAACAGCACUUUGGCGCAAAUCCCACAAAGAGAACAACAGAGAAGCCAAUAGUCAAAGAGCGCAAGAUGGCAAGGAACCACAGGAGAAUCAGUAAAAGCAGAAAGAAUCACUAUAUCAGGAGCAAAUCAUGAACUGGUGGACACAAAAACUGGGACAUGUAUAAGUAAAUGGCUCAGAUACACUCCCAUCUCAACACUAUAACUGAAUUUCUGGUAGAAUGACCAUGAACAUUUAUAUUUGUGAACGGAGGGAAUAACAGUUAAGAAGGGAGCCUUGGAGCAGCGGUAAAGCUGUAGCCUUGUAACCUUGAGGUCAUGGGUUCGAGUCCUGGAAACAGCCUCUUGCAGAAAUGUAGGGAAAGGCUGCGUACUAUAGAUCCAAAGCGAUUGGACCCUUCCCCGGACCCUGUGCAAGCAGGAGCUACGUGCACCGGACUGCCCUUUAGGGAGUAAUAGUUAGCCGCUAAACUGGUUACUUGCUGUGACACAAGCCAUCCUAGUUUAGCACCAAGUAAAUCGAUUCAGGUGUUAAGAUAGAAGCUCUCACAGGGAGGUUAUAUCAUCACAGCCAUUCAUGAACAUGAUACGAAGAAAACAGUAAUCUUGACAGCUGAACUUGCCCUAUACGACCCUUAAGUUGAAACCAGUAAAGAAGUAACGCGAAACCAAAAGUACAAACUGAUAAGUAGAUAAAGAGUACAAUAGAAGGAUGAAAUUAUCAAGUCAAAUAGCAAUUGAAACAAGCAAACUGACCCAGCACCAAAUAAGAUAGUUUCAAAAGCCAUCCAAGGGACAGCAGAAUUAUCAUAGCCAUUCAAGAAGAAGGAAGAAACGGAAAAAGGAAAAAAAACAGAAGAAAUAAUUAAGUGUGGCUGGAGUACUGUUCCUAAAACAACAGAACUCGUUGACUACUGCAAAACCAACAAAAUGUGUAGGAAAAAAGGAAAAACAGUCCCUUGCAUCCACCAGACCAUGAUUUUACCGAAAGAACUAAUAUCAUAACCAAACUCUCAACAUAUCUUUAACAUAUACAUGGAUGCGAGCAAGCAAGAAAUACAAAUUCUCAGAAAGGAAAAGAUCAGUUCAAAUUUUGGGAAGGAAACACUUAUUUUUACUCAGAACUUUAUUGGGCGGGAGUCUCGGAAUUGGCCAAUUUAUAGAAGGUAGUCAUGGUAUUUUUGCAACAAGAGAUUAUAAGAGGUAGAUACAGGCUUAUGACAACAUUGUGUUUUUCCACGUAUUGCCUUCUAUAAGCAAUUAAAAUGGUCAUCAGCAGAAAGCAAACCGUGCAAAUUGUAUUCCUUGAGACCAGUUAGCAGUUGCUGUGCUGGACCAAAACAGUAGAAAAGAAGUUUGACAACUUGCCAACUUGAAUGUACAUCACUGCCAAAAGAACCAGUAAAAAUUUAAUAGGGGUAGUAAAUAAGGACAUGGAAUAUGACCAAAGAACUAGCCAUGGGCAAUUGGGCAGGGGUGCGAGGAAGCUAGCUAUCCAUGUGCCAGAACCAUGAGUUGGUUGCGAGAUCCUAUGGGUUUGCUGUUUUCCAUGUGCCAGCUCUAGCCUACCCCAACUUGUUUGGAACUAAAGGCUUUGCUGUUGUUGUUGGUAGUAAAGGAGGACAUGCACAGAUCAUCUUCCGCAUAUUUAACCACUCAACAGAAUGACCAUCCAAGACAGAGCCAUCAAUAUUCGGUCAGAAUGAAAAGGUCAUAAAAGAGGGGAGAGCGUUUUUUUAAUACCCACGGCUCCUCGAAUAAUCGAAGACAGGUUUAUUGUCAGCCAAGUUUGAUCAUCAUCGCCCCUUAUAAAUAGAUAGAGAGAUCCCUUUGCGCAUGCAACAGGUAAGGGUGAAAAGUCGGUUGGACCAGAUACAGAAUAUCUGCAGCUAAGCACAGUAUCAGCAGCUGGAGGGCGAUUAGAACAUGAGGAAUAGUUCACAAAAUCCUGGGGAAUUUUUGGGGAGUACUAUUUGAAUGAGUGACUCAAACACCAUGAAUCACCAAAGUUGGGAAAUGCUUCAGGUGGUACAAAGUACUGGGAAAUUUUUGGGGAGUACUAUUUGAAUGAAUGAAGUGGUACCAUAAACAAUAAAAUAUCUGUCUCCCUCUCCCUCUCUCUCUCCAGCAACAAAUUGCCGCAACUAGUAACUUGCUGCAGCGCAAGGCCUCCUAGUUUAACGACCAGCUGUCUAACUGGGCAAAUUUGAAUGGAACCAACCUAGGAGACGUGAAAGCAUCUCUAUCACAAGAUAGUUGAAAGAUCUCCAACGCCAAGGGGCAGAAAUCACCAUAGCCAUUCAGAAAAUAAUAAAACUCAUCAACACACAACGGAAACAAAUAUGCUGUGUUCAGAAGUUAACUUGGAACACUGCACUGAUGUCCGUAUUACUGGCAACGAAAGAAGCAAUUGACAUUUGUACACUUCAGAUAAAAGGAGUAACUACAAGCCAAAUAAAAAUAGGAUGACAUAAACUUUCCGUUUUGAAACAGCAGAAAAGCAUAAGCUUGCAAAAAGGGAUGCACAUAAUACAAACAGAAAACAGGAAAUGCAGCUCGCCCGUUUAUCCCAUGAAAAAUGGGUUCUAAUGCUAAAUAGUCAGACAUGUAACACUGGAUAGUGGCAAUACUAUUCCACCAUGAAACUGAACAGCGGUCAGUCCAACCUCUGGCAAAAUGAAAACACAGCCAAAUCAAGAAUACUGAAUAAAAUUUAAAAUAUAUAAUGAGAAGAGGGCCAACCGCCAACAUAUAAAUCCCAAAUGACUCAAGCAAAAGCUCCAGGAGGACAUCCAGUUAUGAUAAGACAAAAUCAAGGUUUUUGAGUCGAUGAGUCGGCGAGUCGCUCAGGGGGGGCGACUCUAGACUAGUCGUGACUCAUGGUCGACGAGUCGACAUGCGAUGAGUCGACGUGAGUUAAGUAGUAGGGAGCAGACCAGCGGCAACUAAGGGAGGAGCCGCAGCAGCAAGAGAUGGGAGGGGCAGACCUGCAGUAGCAGCAACCAAGGGAUGAGCAGCAGCAACCAGGGGAGAAGGGGACGAGCAGCCAGCCAGCGGCAGCGGCUGCUGCAGAAGAGAGCUGGGUCGGGGGAGGGGAGUGGAACUGUUCGAUCUAGGUUUCCAGACGCUCCAAUCUUCCUUCAAUAUUGGCCCAGAAGCAAUAUUAGCCCAAUAAGGCCCAAUGAAACCCUAGCCUGCCUAGCUCAAUCUGAACCAUCUAUAUUCUCUAAUCUUCACCGUCCAUCCACUCUCUUCUUUCUCUCUCUCUCACCUGCUCCCCUUCCAGCCUCCAGGAACGAAUCGACAGCCGCAAUGGCCUUGCUGCAGCUCCUCUUCCAUGGCUUCUCUGCCUUCGCCCCUUCCUCUCCGCCUCCCCCAUCCUUCUCUGCUCCGUUUUCUACGCCCAACUCCUCUUCCAUCACAGGUUGAUCGAGUCGUUCGACUCAAAAACCGCGACUAGUCGAGACUAGUCGGGACUAGUCGAUCAAGUCGCUCGACUCAUCCAAUGAUUCGAGUCGACAGGUUGAGUCAACCUUCAUGUAACGACUCGUCGACUAGUCGACGACUAGUCGCGACUAGUCGUUCGACUCGAAAUCCAUGGACAAAAUAUAAGAGCCUUUCUAACAAAUACACUUUUGCAGUUGAUAAAUUUAUUUGACACUCAUUUCGAAUCCGUGCAAGGGAUCUGUGCCACGUUGAUGCAUCAGAAAUGUGGCAGUUAAUAUUGACAGCAGCAGCUAAAGAAUAGACUAACUACCAAUGAACUAAAUAGCAUAGAGAAUCAUAACAAAAGGUCUGCUCUGACCAAAACAAAUAUGAAGGUAAUAUGAGCUUCAGAUUAUAAAAAACAGAGACAUAGCAGAUCAAAGGGCAAUCGAUAACCAGAUGAAUAGAACUGUCAAUAGCUACAAGCAUUGGAGGAAAAAAGGGCAAUCGUUUGACUCAUAUAUAGUACGUACAACUAGAAAGGCAAAAACGAUGCCAACUAGAAACCAACCCAAGUAAAGCUAGGGUUGUUGGGUUCGUCACCAAGAGAAGAUAUCAAUCCAGAUCCGGAUCUCACAUCAACACAAUAGAGAAAUAGAAAAUUAAAAACAAUGUAUAGUGGAGAAAAAAAAACUGAGUAUUUGUAGCGUAGCAAGAGGGCUCAGUUUUGCCUUUUAUCUUGAAGCCCAACACUCACGUCUCUUGCUGCAUAACCUACCCAUCGCGAUGUAAUUGAACUGCCCUGGUUAUCACUCAUCAGAAUGACCAUCCGAGGCGCAGAACAUCCAACAUUAGCCAUGAAUUGAAUAGGCUGCAAGAGAAGUAAGGGUGAGAGCUCUUAAGGGCAUCUCCAACGCCGGCACCCAUUUGGGGCCUAUUUAGUACCCACAUGCCACGGCUGUCUUGAUUGCUCAACACAUAAUUAUUUCAGCCGCAGGCAUCAUCAUCGCCCUUUUUUUUUAAAAAAAAAAAGGUCAAACCCCCCAAGCAACAUGACCAUAACAUCCAUCAUCCAUCCAUCCAUUCAUCCAUCAGACUAGCCAUAGUGGUGAGUAACUUAGACAAUCUCAGGAGCUGCUCAUACCUGGCCUUGACCGACCAAACCUCCUGGUGUGGACGACACAUCAGACAACGCCUUACGGUUCCCAGCCACGCCACAACCAAAUCCAAGGCAAUGGACUGGCGGCGGCUGGCAGCACCGUAGAGACCGGGAACUGACAUGGCAGCUACCCGGACGAUGGGUCAGCGAGUCGGCAAUGAAAGCUUGACUGAUUUGUUUAAGGGAGAGANNN
rnacentral:lncRNA from 1 species